rfam:Dipodomys ordii contig_41203, whole genome shotgun sequence.
UGGGAAGUGGCUCAGUGGUAGAGCGCUUGCCUUGCAUGCAUGAGUCCCUGGGUUCGAUAACUCAUCACCACAU